UACGUAGGGUGCAAGCGUUAAUCGGAAUUACUGGGCGUAAAGCGUGCGCAGGCGGUUUUGUAAGUCAGAUGUGAAAUCCCCGGGCUCAACCUGGGAAUGGCCGUUGAAACUGGCGAACUGGAGUGUGGCAGAGGGGGGGUGGAAUUCCGCGUGUAGCAGUGAAAUGCGUAGAGAUGCGGAGGAACACCGAUGGCGAAGGCAGCCCCCCUGGGCUGACACUGACGCUCAGGCACGAAAGCGUGGGGAGCAAACAGG
rnacentral:rRNA from 1 species